rnacentral:rRNA from 1 species
UACGAAGGGGACUAGCGUUGUUCGGAUUCAUUGGGCGUAAAGGGUGCGUAGGCGGCGCGGUAAGUCGGGUGUGAAAUCUCGGAGCUUAACUCCGAAACUGCAUUCGAUACUGCCGUGCUUGAGGACUGGAGAGGAGACUGGAAUUUACGGUGUAGCGGUGAAAUGCGUAGAUAUCGUAAGGAAGACCAGUGGCGAAGGCGGGUCUCUGGACAGUUCCUGACGCUGAGGCACGAAGGUCAGGGGAGCAAACAGG